CACACCCGUUCCCAUGCCGAACACGGAAGUUAAGCACUUGAACGCCGAAAGUAGUUGGGGGCUUCCCCCUGUGAGGAUAGGACGUUGCCAGGC
rnacentral:rRNA from 1 species